rnacentral:lncRNA from 1 species
UGAUAUUGCUUACUCCGGUAUGUUUUAAGGUAAUUGAGUCAGUUAUUUCCAUUUAAAAAUGUUAUUGUGCAAAUUGAGGAAAUUCUUCAAAAAUCCCGAGAUGUGUGAUAAUUAGAGGUACUCAUGGGCUGGGCCGGGUUCUGGCUGAGCCCAGAAAAAAAUUCGACCCGCAUCUUAGGCCCGGGCCCGACCCGACCCGAAUUAUGGACCCGAGAUUUUGUCUAGGCCCAGCCUAG